rnacentral:piRNA from 1 species
UCCCAAGCGUUCAUCUUUGGAGA